rnacentral:rRNA from 1 species
ACGGAAGGCAGCAGUGGGGAAUAUUGGGCAAUGGGGGAAACCCUGACCCAGCAACGCCGCGUGAAGGAAGAAGGCUUUCGGGUUGUAAACUUCUUUUAAGAGGGACGAUAAUGACGGUACCUCUUGAAUAAGCCACGGCUAACUACGUGCCAGCAGCCGCGGUAAUACGUAGGUGGCAAGCGUUAUCCGGAUUUACUGGGUGUAAAGGGCGUGUAGGCGGGACUGCAAGUCAGAUGUGAAAGCACGAGGCUCAACCUCGUGUCUGCAUUUGAAACUGUAGUUCUUGAGUGUUGGAGAGGCUAACGGAACUCCUAGCGUAGCGGUGAAAUGCGUAGAUAUUAGGAAGAACACCAGUGGCGAAGGCGGUUAGCUGGACAAUAACUGACGCUGAGGCGCGAAAGCGUGGGUAGCAAACAGGAUUAGAUACCCUGGUA